AUGAAAAAUCUUGCAUAAUCUUAAAAUAAAAUUAAUCAUAAACUCCUUUUUAGAUCACAUCUAAACUUUUUAUGAUUUUAAAUUUUAUUUUUUUCAUGAUUAAAAUAAUUUUAAUUAUAUAGAUUAGAUAUUUUACUUUUCAUAUAAUUUUAUAUCACAUACAACAAACUUAAUAUUUCAAGAUCUAGGAUUUUAUAGAAAAGUAAGUUCUUUCUAUCACAUUCCUCUUUAUAAGAUUUAAUCACAUGGCAUCCCUACACACCAUAAGAACACCCCAUC
rnacentral:lncRNA from 1 species